UGCUGCUAAUCAGGCAGGUAUUCAGCUUCUCACUCCUGUAGGUCUGCUUAGCAUAGAAAUCGGCUGCCUUCCCAGGAAAAUGAGAUUUCACCCUAUGCACUGCAUAUUUAAAAUCUACAUCACAGGUCAAUUUACACUGCUGACUUUUCUGGACUGUGUAAAAGAGAUUUCUUUGCUGGCACUGUAAAAUGGUGUAGAUAUGCCAGCUAAUCCGCAGCAUAUUCGCAGUAGGGGCCAACACAAGUCAGUAGCAAGUCCUGUACUGCUGUAAAGAUUCCUGAAUCAAUGCAGGUCGUUUCAUCUCGGCUUCCUUCACAACUGCAGACAUCAAGCAGAAAAAUAAACCCGACAAGCUCCUCGAGAUGUUCAGCAAAACACACAAUAAAAAGAAUCCCAAAAAACGAAACCCUCUUAUUACAUUGUCUGCUCUAAAUAAACAUGUACUCUUCAGACAAUGAUCAGCUCCAGCAUGACUCAACACCUCCCAUAAACUCUGACACCAAUGUUAAGGCGAAUGAAUGCAUGGUUGUCAUCGGGCCUUUUCCAUCAAACUGUUUAACCUCCAUCAAAACUUUUGGCAUUGCUUCAACAUAUGAAUAUUUAUUUCUUGAUUUUAA